AACGAGAAAGCAGGAGCAAUCCUGUGAGUAAAGUGGCGUACGGGUGAGUAACACGUGGAUUAUCUACCUUCUAGUGGGGGAUAACCCUGGGAAACCGGGGCUAAUACCGCAUAAGUUCGAGAGAAGAAAGCGGCCUUGUGAAAGCAAAGCCGCGCUGGAAGAGGAGUCCGCGGCCGAUUAGCUUGUUGGUAGGGUAAAAGCCUACCAAGGCUACGAUCGGUAGCCGGCCUGAGAGGGCACACGGCCACACUGGCACUGAAACACGGGCCAGACUCCUACGGGAGGCAGCAGUGGGGAAUCUUGCACAAUGGGGGCAACCCUGAUGCAGCGACGCCGCGUGAGCGAUGAAGCCCUUCGGGGUGUAAAGCUCUUUCGGCAGGGACGAUUAUGACGGUACCUGCAGAAGCAGCUGCGGCUAACUACGUGCCAGCAGCCGCGGUAAUACGUAGGCAGCAAGCGUUGUUCGGAGUUACUGGGCGUAAAGGGUGUGUAGGCGGUCCUCUAAGUUUGGUGUGAAAUCUCCCGGCUUAACUGGGAGGGUGCGCCGAAAACUGGGGUGCUCGAGCGUGGGAGAGGAAAGCGGAAUUCCUGGUGUAGCGGUGAAAUGCGUAGAUAUCAGGAGGA
rnacentral:rRNA from 1 species